CAGUCGCCGCGGUAAUACGAAGGUCCCAAGCGUUGUUCGGAAUCACUGGGCGUAAAGGGAGCGUAGGCGGCGUGGUAAGUCAGAUGUGAAAUCCCGGGGCUCAACCCCGGAACUGCAUCCGAUACUGCCAUGCUUGAGGGUUGGAGAGGUAGCUGGAAUUCUUGGUGUAGCAGUGAAAUGCGUGGAUAUCAAGAGGAACACUCGUGGCGAAGGCGAGCUACUGGACAACAUCUGACGCUGAGGCUCGAAGGCCAGGGUAGCGAAAGGGAUUAGAUACCCCCGUAGUCCCUGUCUCUUAUAC
rnacentral:rRNA from 1 species